UACGAAGGGGGCUAGCGUUGUUCGGAAUCACUGGGCGUAAAGAGUACGUAGGCGGAUUGUUAAGUCAGGGGUGAAAUCCCGAGGCUCAACCUCGGAACUGCCUUUGAUACUGGCAAUCUUGAGUCCGGGAGAGGUGAGUGGAACUCCUAGUGUAGAGGUGAAAUUCGUAGAUAUUCGGAGGAACACCAGAAGCGAAGGCGGCUCACUGGCCCGAUACUGACGCUGAGGCGCGAAAGCGUGGGGAGCAAACAGG
rnacentral:rRNA from 1 species